rnacentral:tRNA from 1 species
GGGCCCUUAGUACAAUCCGGUUAGUAUGCGCCCAUGGCAUGGGUGAGAUUCCGGGUUCAAAUCCCGGAGGGUCCA